rnacentral:rRNA from 1 species
AGCAGCCGCGGUAAUUCCAGCUCCAAUAGCGUAUAUUAAAGUUGUUGCAGUUAAAAAGCUCGUAGUUGAAUUUCGGGGUUAGUAGGUUGGUCAUGCCUCUGGUAUGUACUGGUCUCACUGAUUCCUCCUUCCUGAUGAGCCGUAAUGCCAUUAAUUUGGUGUUGCGAGGAAUCUGGACUGUUACUUUGAAAAAUUGAGUGUUUAAAGCAGGCUAACGCUUGAAUACAUUAGCAUGGAAUAAUGAAAUAGGACGUUCGAUCCUAUUUUGUUGGUUUCUAGGAUUGACGUAAUGAUUAAUAGGGAUAGUUGGGGGCAUUAGUAUUCAAUUGUCAGAGGUGAAAUUCUUGGAUUUAUUGAAGACUAACUACUGCGAAAGCAUUUGCCAAGGAUGUUUUCAUUAAUCAAGAACGAAAGUUAGGGGAUCGAAGACGAUCAGAUACCGUCGUAGUC